rnacentral:rRNA from 1 species
AUUGAACGCUGGCGGCAGGCCUAACACAUGCAAGUCGAACGAGUGGCGGACGGGUUAGUAAUGACUGGGAACGUUCCUGAUGGAGGGGGUUAACAACUGGACACGGUAGCUAAUUCCGCCUACCUUCAGAUGUGCCCGAAUGGGAUUGGCUGGUUGGUGGGGUAAAGGCUCACAAAGGCGACGAUCCCUAGCUGGUCUGAGAGGAUGACCAGCCACACUGGAACUGAGACACGGUCCAGACUCCUACGGGAGGCAGCAGUGGGGAAUAUUGCACAAUGGGCGAAAGCCUGAUGCAGCCAUGCCGCGUGUAUGAAGAAGGCCUUCGGGUUGUAAAGUACUUUCAGCGGGGAGGCGUUACCCGCAGAAGAAGCACCGGCUAACUCCGUGCCAGCAGCCGCGGUAAUUC